rnacentral:lncRNA from 1 species
GUGGGCUCCCAGCUGGCCCUCUGGCUCCCCUCUUUUGCUACAAUAAGGGUUUCGUUUCAUAAAAAAUCAAGAGGAGGCUUUCGGGAGGAUUUGCCACCGCCACGAGGCGGAACUUGAGCAGAACCAAUCUAUAGCUCCGGCAGGACGAUCCUGUCGGGGAAACUUCCCUCCCGGAGGGGGAAAUCGUCGCCAUCGUCAUCACCAACACUACUCUCAUCGGAGAGGACUCGUCACCAUCAACAUCUUCAUCAGCACCAUCUCAUCUCCAAACCCU